ensembl:misc_RNA Metazoa_SRP Metazoan signal recognition particle RNA
GCCGGGCGUGGUGGUGUGUGCCUGUAGUCCCAGCUACUCGGGAGGCUGAGGCAGGAGAAUUGCUUGAACCCAGGAGGCAAGAGGUUGCAGUGAGGCAAUAGCGCGCCACUGCACUCCAGCCUGGGUGACAGAGCAAGACCCUGUUUCAA